rnacentral:misc_RNA from 1 species
GGAGAGUUUGGCCCGGACGUGGCGAGCCGGACAUGGAGGAGAGAGCGCCUGCCGGCUCUCCCGUUCCCUGCUCUCCGGGAGUGGCCUCAUGGCCGACUAUUUCACCCAUUUCUCAUGCCUGCUCGAUGUCGGCACGCCCGAGACCGCAGCCCGCGCGCUCGAUCUCUACAACCAACUGUCCGAGGACGGAGCAUCANNNNGCCGUCCGAUGGCUUCCUCCUGUCCAUCCAGCCCGAGCAUGGCGGCUCCAAACUCUGG